AACGAACGCUGGCGGCAUGCCUAACACAUGCAAGUCGAGCGCCGUAGCAAUACGGAGCGGCGCACGGGUGAGUAACGCGUGGGAACCUGCCCAGAGGUUCGGGACAACCGCGGGAAACUGCGGCUGAUACCGGAUGAUACCUGAGGGUCAAAGAUUUAUCGCCUUUGGAGGGGCCCGCGUCAGAUUAGGUAGUUGGUGGGGUAAUGGCUCACCAAGGCGACGAUCCCUAGCUGGUCUGAGAGGAUGAUCAGCCACACUGGAACUGAGACACGGUCCAGACUCCUACGGGAGGCAGCAGUGGGGAAUAUUGGACAAUGGGCGCAAGCCUGAUCCAGCCAUGCCGCGUGUGUGAAGAAGGCCUUCGGGUUGUAAAGCACUUUCAGUAGGGGGGAAGCGUUGUGUGUUACUAGUACACAGCGUUGACGUUACCUACAGAAGAAGCACCGGCUAACUCUGUGCCAGCAGCCGCCGUAACAC
rnacentral:rRNA from 1 species